rnacentral:misc_RNA from 1 species
AGUCGCACCUCCUCGAGUUUUCUGACGUCCAAGGAUAUAUGCGUGUUUAAACAACCUGAUCACGUCUACACACACACACACGGUCGUACACUCACAGAUACAUACAGUCAUGACAAUCAGUUCAACUAGAAGCAAGUCCAGGUAACCAGCAGUAGCACCAGCAGGACAAGAGGUAACCACAUCAUCUUCAGGUAACCCAGACCAGCAGGUGUGGUAGAGGCUGGCAGAGGGCGUCGUGGUCUGUGUUUGGCUGAGGUCUACCACCGAGGACGUGCCCAGUGUGUACCUACCUCUCAGCCUGCCUGCACGUCUGUCGUCAUGUAGCUGCCGCAUCUCACGAGUCUUCAUCACCAGGAGGUAUAGAAUAUCAGGUUGUGGCGUUGGUCCAGCCUCUAGUGCAGGGCGGUGACAACAGUGAUACAGUUGUAGUCCUCAUAGUGUGUGCGUCAAGCUGAGGUGACCAAUACAGUACAUCAUUGACGAAGGGAGAAGUAACAAUAGAGAUUUAUUUCUAGUAGAUCAUAACGCAAGUUUGUGACAGUGAAGGGAAUAGUUACCAUGUUACAGUGUCCAUAACAGUGAACAGUGUCUUAGGCAGGGGAGGGGGGGGGGAAAAUCGCCUUUGUAAUAUUUGCCAAAGUGAUGUGAUGAAAAUAAUGUAAAUAGUGACGCGCAGUUACCAGUGACACGGGCAUGAAUCUGACCCCAAGUUUAUAAGACAUUGAAGGUAAUAUCCUGGAAUAUAAACAAUGCGACUGAUUCUACCACACCGAGGGGUACUGUGGGUGAUGAUGAUGACGGUGUGGAUGAUGGUGGGCGUGUGUGAAGCAGGUGUGGGCGUGUGGAUGGAUGACGGUAACGGGCGGACGGUGUUAGCUGACAACUUAGGAUCAGAAGAGGCGGCUGAGUUGGCCCGGGACAUUCUGGACGUGUUGGACUUGCCCGCCCCACCAUUAGUAAGGGAAGGGCGACACCACCACCACAUUCACCUGCACCGCGCCCACGGCUCAGCACCCACCUGGCUCAAGAGUGUGUACGACACCCUGGACGAACAUGGGCACGCUAACUCAGCCCAUAUGGACGCCACUCACCGGGAGACUGUUACUGCUGCCGACACCAUCAUCACCUUCGUCAGUAGAGAUCCACCACACGGUAGACCUCACCACGGGGCCAACAAGAGGCUAUACUUCGACGUGAGAGAUGUACCUCUGGACCACUCACUGCUUGGGGCUGAGAUACAGAUCUAUCGUUUUGAGGGCCACGAUGAACCACUCAGUCUUCACGUGUAUAUGAUUAAUGAUGACGAAGAGAGUGAGUCGGAGGUGGCUCGGGUGACGCUGAGGGAGCCAGGCUGGGUGAGCAUUAACGUUACGGCUCCUGUACUGUCAUGGCUCAUCUUCCCCAACACAAACUUUGGUCUUCGUCUUGCUGUUACCUCCCUUGAUCGACGCCAUGAGCGGCGGUUCCAUGAGGUGGGAGUGUCAGGAGCCAAGGAUCAGGAGGACUACAGACCCUUCAUGGUAGGAUUCUUCGCCCUCCCAUCCUCCUCCUACAAGAAGAAAAGGAUUCGUACUGCCAGGUCCGCCUCCGCCCCACCCCCACCACCCAGGAGCAGAUUACGGACGUAUCGAGAUAUCACCGACAGGCCGAUUGGGUCAGACACACUAUGCAAGAUGAAACACCUCCACGUCUCCUUCAGGGACUUAGGCUGGGAGAACUGGGUCAUCGCUCCUGAAGGAUACGACGCUAACUACUGCGAGGGUCAUUGUGUAUUCCCCCUGCAGGCUGAACUCAACGCCACUAACCACGCCCUCGUACAGACUCUGGUGAAGGUAAUUGAUGAAGUAUCUGAUGACCACGAGGUGCCCCCCAACGCCUGCUGUGCCCCCAUAGACCUGGCCACCAUCCCAGUCCUCUACUACUCGUAUGAAAACAACAUCGUGCUGAAGAAGUAUCCCAAGAUGAUCGUCAAGACUUGUGGCUGUCUUUGAGGACCUAAGAAACACACGUAAACAACCAACAAGUAUCGCCUGGCGUUUGAUUGCCACUGAAUAUUGUAUAAAUCUACCGCCAGAUCAAUCAAGUAUCGCCUGGCGUUUGAUUGCCACUGAAUAUCUAUCGUUUAUCUCUGCCACCAAAUCAAUCAAACAAGUAUUGCCUGGCGUUUGAUUGCCACUGAAUAUUGUAUAAAUCUACCGCCAGAUCAAUCAAGUAUCGCCUGGCGUUUGAUUGCCACUGAAUAUCGUAUAAAUCUACUGCCAGAUCAAUCAAUCAUCGCCUGGCGUUUGAUUUAUCUCCUAGGACGGUAUAAAAUAUCUCUUUAACACGAGCAAUUAAUAACUCUUUGCCUUCACCUCUUCGUCUGGCUAUACUUACACGCCAGGCGGACACUCGCUCGCCUUUCUGCUACCAUUGGAACUUGUAAAUGAGAAGAACGAAACUGAACCUUGUGAUUGCCUUCUCAAGUAACAACAAUUAACUGGAUACCAUUCCUUGAGACCCUGAGAGAGAGAGAAUGGGGGGAGGGGGGGGGCUUUUAAUAUAAACUCAACGCCUUAAUAUGAACCAAGUUAAUUAAAUCUCUCGUGUUUAAUAUAAGGGCCGUGAAAUAACAGGAUUUGGUGAUAUUAGUCAGGAGAGUGUCCGAAUGUUUGAUGUGUAAUAAGGUACCGAUUUUAACGCCAAUAUUUUGAAGGAUAUCUAUACUUAUAAACAAGGCGGUAUUAUUAUUAUUAUUAUUAGUAGUAGUAGUAGUAGUAGUAUUUGUUUUUAUUAUUUUGAUCCGAUUUUCACAGACCAAUCAGAAUAGAGUAUUAUAAAAGACAUAACUACUAGGGACCAAUCACAACCUUUCAUUUUUAUUGCUCGGUAUAUUUUUGUUGUAUUCUUGUAUUCAGUAUAAUUAAGUAUUUUUUAAAGUUUAUGUGAUACUGAUUUGAGAUGUAUUAAUGGUAUGAAUAUAAUCCACGUGUUAAU